rnacentral:lncRNA from 1 species
GCUUAGUCAUGAUGCAACAAGUCAAUGUCAAAAUAGGAAACGGUCUCUGGGAACAUCUAGUUCAGCCCCUUUGCGUUAGUCGGCGAAGAAUAUGGUGCGUGGAUGAUUAAGGGGCACAUUUAAAGUCACAGGACAAUCACGAUGAGAGAAAAAACAGAACUGGAACUUGAAAGUCUGGGGACAUACUGCUCUCUUCUUGGUAUUCUUCUCUCUGAAAUUCCAACCUUGGCAGAUGACCAAAGUGAACAGGGGGUGCCAAGGAAGGGAAAGGGAGAAGAAAAAGUACAUGGCACUCCUGAUCGAAGAUAAAGUUUGACUGUAAACUCCAAUCAUCUUUAAAGAGAGACUUCGGUGAUCAGACGGUAGCAGGAACUUUAUUUGAAGUUGUUAUGUUAGAAGAUCAAAGAAGAAAGGUGAACUAUGCAAGAGUAAGAUCAAAAAGAAGAAAUUUCAUUUUGAUUUUUAGAUAUCAAGGAAUAAUACAUACACUAAAGCCUAUUAGUGAUUGUCAAAGAGUAUAAAGGCAACAUCAAGUAUGCAGGUCGGAAUUGUUUUCAUUCUUUUAACUAAUAGCAAAUGUUAAUUUUACUUUGUCUUUCCUUGUAUGAGUUCCUGUCUACAUCUUUGCUAUGCAAACAUUCAUGUAAUUGUAUCAGACAUAUGAAAAUGGUCACAUUGCCAUAGAUUUCUAGAGGUAGGAUUUUCAUUUCUAUGUGGAAGAGGACAUAUUCUGCAUGGUAAAGGAAGCUUGUUUUAAUGUUUCAAAAAUAAUCCAAUGAACCUGCUUUGUUAUGUAGAAUGAAACACUUAUCCAAAAUAUGAUCUGGAAGUAGGGUACAAAACUUCAAAAAUGUCGAUGAGAAAUGUUAUGUGCCUAUGGGCUUCUCAGGUGAGUAAGUUAGAGCUUCUGGGGAGGGAACAAGACACUUCUGGAGAGAGCUGUGAACCAGCAACUCUAUGCAGGUACAACGGAGGAGGGACAACCCUGUGAUGUGGGAAGGGCACCUCAUCUCAUUUGUCCUACACUAAUGCCUCACAUCAAGUUUGAACAUAGUUUCUGCUUUGUUAAUUAGUUUUAUUGCCCACAAGCGUUAGUGAAACAAAACUCGCUCUCCAUCCAAAGGUUUAAGAUAAUGGUAAAAAGCUGUCUUCUCUAGUGUUGUAAUUUAUCAUCUCCAAACUUUCA